AAGUCGUAACAAGGUUUCCGUAGGUGAACCUGCGGAAGGAUCAUUAACACGUAUCCAAACGUUAAAACCCCCCCCGUGAACCUUCAUCCUGCUCUUGUAACCCGCGUAGUUCGCAAUCUCUGAUAAAUCAUAGCCCGGAAAGUUGUAGUGAUUCAGACCGUACACUCGGGCAGGAGCUUUGCCAAAGGGUCCCCAUGCCCCCUAAUAACCCCACAGUUUAAUGUGUAGCUCAAUGUAAUACAUUGGGUAAAAAAACCGAACAACUGUUAACAAUGGAUAUCUUGGUUCUC
rnacentral:misc_RNA from 1 species